rnacentral:rRNA from 1 species
GGGGCGCAGCAGGCGCGAACCUUUACACUGCACGGAAGUGGCGAUAGGGGAACUCCCAGUGCGAGGGCAUAUCGUCCUCGCUUUUUCUGGACCGUAAGGUGGUCCAGGAAGAAGGGCUGGGCAAGACCGGUGCCAGCCGCCGCGAUAAUACCGGCAGCCCGAGUGAUGGCCGCUAUUAUUGGGCUAAAGCGUCCGUAGCUGGCCGGGCAAGUCCGUCGGGAAAUCCACUCGCUUAACGGGUGGGCGUCCGGCGGAAACUGCUCGGCUUGGGACCGGAAGACCCGAGGGGUACGUCCGGGGUAGGAGUGAAAUCCCGUAAUCCCGGACGGACCGCCGGUGGCGAAAGCGCCUCGGGAAGACGGAUCCGACAGUGAGGGACGAAAGCUAGGGUCUCGAACCGGAUUAGAUACCCGGGUAGUCCUAGCCGUAAACGAUGCCCGCUAGGUGUGGCGCAGGCUACGAGCCUGCGCUGUGCCGUAGGGAAGCCGCGAAGCGGGCCGCCUGGGAAGUACGUCCGCAAGGAUGAAACUUAAAGGGAUUGGCGGGGGAGCACUACAACCGGAGGAGCCUGCGGUUUAAUUGGACUCAACGCCGGAAACAUUACCAGCCCCGACAGCAGUGAUGACGGUCAGGUUGAUGACCUUACUCGACGCUGCUGAGAGGAGGUGCAUGGCCGCCGUCAGCUCGUACCGUGAGGCGUCCUGUUAAGUCAGGCAACGAGCGAGACCCGCACCCCUAAUUGCCAGCAGCACCCACGUGGUGGCUGGGUACAUUAGGGGGACUGCCGCUGCUAAAGCGGAGGAAGGAACGGGCAACGGUAGGUCAGUAUGCCCCGAAUGGGCUGGGCUACACGCGGGCUACAAUGGCCGGGACAGUGGGAUGCCACCCCGAGAGGGGGAGCUAAUCUCGAAACCCGGUCGUAGUUCGGAUUGAGGGCUGAAACCCGCCCUCAUGAAGCUGGAUUCGGUAGUAAUCGCGUGUCACCAGCGCGCGGUGAAUACGUCCCUGCUCCUUGCACACACCGCCCGUCAAAGCACCCGAGUGGGGUCCGGAUGAGGCCGCCGCACGGCGGUCGAAUC